AUUGAACGCUGGCGGCAGGCCUAACACAUGCAAGUCGAGCGGCAGCGGGAAAGUAGCUUGCUACUUUUGCCGGCGAGCGGCGGACGGGUGAGUAAUGCCUGGGAAAUUGCCCAGUCGAGGGGGAUAACAGUUGGAAACGACUGCUAAUACCGCAUACGCCCUACGGGGGAAAGCAGGGGACCUUCGGGCCUUGCGCGAUUGGAUAUGCCCAGGUGGGAUUAGCUAGUUGGUGAGGUAAUGGCUCACCAAGGCGACGAUCCCUAGCUGGUCUGGGAGGGUGAUCAGCCACACUGGAACUGAGACACAGUCCAGACUCCUACGGGAGGCAGCAGUGGGGAAUAUUGCACAAUGGGGGAAACCCUGAUGCAGCCAUGCCGCGUGUGUGAAGAAGGCCUUCGGGUUGUAAAGCACUUUCAGCGAGGAGGAAAGGUUGAUGCCUAAUACGUAUCAACUGUGACGUUACUCGCAGAAGAAGCACCGGCUAACUCCGUGCCAGCCGCCGCAGUAAAAC
rnacentral:rRNA from 1 species